UGAUCAGUGCCUUUCUGAGUAGA
rnacentral:piRNA from 1 species